UUUAUUAAGAGUGCAAAAGAAGCAAUUAAAAUAUAUUAAAAUAUAUUAUGUAUUUUAAUGUUAUAAAUAUUAAUUGUGUUUAGCAUUGCAUUAAACUUACACAUAUUGAUCAAAUCUCAAUCAUUUAUAAAAUAAAAGAUAAAAAAUCAUGGCUAAAAUUCUCAAAUUUAUUUAUGAAGUUUUGUUUUUGUCCCUAUUCCUUCUUUCAGCGAAGGCUAUGUAUCCAUGUGAAACUACUGAUGAUUGUAUACGAGUAUUUAUUAGUGCUGAAAAGCUGAACUACUACCUUGAGUGCAUCGAGAAAGUAUGUGUAUCGUUUCCUAAAUAAGUAUAUGAAUUCUUGAAAUAUCAAAAAACUACAAAUAAUAUAUUUCCUAAAUCGUCAUUUAACAUUUAUGCUUCAUAGCAACAAUUGUAUUUUUUAAAUAUUUAUUUCUUUUUAUAAUUUCAUAUACUUUGAAAUUAUGUCUUUUGUAAUCUACAAUUUCGACAACGAAAUGAAAGAAGACAAUAAAAUUAUUAUAA